AGGAAGGGUCCUGAGACACACCUAGCACUUCACAUUCACUAAGUCAUGCGUGAUCAUCAAAUCAUUUGAUUAAUUCCCUUACUCUUACAGGACCUGCCUCCCAGGGGAAUACGGUAGUGCUGAGAAGAGGGUGUGGACGGACUAAGGGCUGAAGAAGUCCUGGAGACGGGGUGGCGAUGGUGAGUGUGCUUGCUGAGCCCAGGAGACGGACCGCAGCACCGGGCACUCGGGUGGGGUCCAGAGGAGAGGAGCCUCCUGCAGGGACAGCAAAGCUGACGAGAGGACAACAUAAAGCCACUUCUGUCUUUACCUCGCAUUGCCUUUGCACCACAUCCAUUUGGCUGCCUCAGGAUAUGGUUCAGUCAUCACCUCCUUCAUCCAGCCUUCUCUACCUCUUUGUCUUAACAUUGAAAUGGCCAGCGUGUUCUUCUACCUGCCUGCCAGACAUGCAGGCCCAAGGUACCAGGAGGCAGAUGCUGACAGAUGCAUCUCAGUAUGCCCGGCACCUCCACCACACAAGGGCUGUGCUGGUUGCUGUGGGAAUGCUGCAGGGCACAAAACGGAUAAUGCUGGAGGGAGAAGACAGCAAACACAAGGCUCAAGAAACUCCAGUAUGUAAGAAGAGGACAUGCACAAUGGAAGAGGGAAGCCACCAUGCAGAAUGUCGGGGUGCACUUUUAAAUGGGACAGUCAAGAUGAGGAAACUGAGGCUUGGCGUCUCAUUGAGUGACCUACCCAAAAGUUACCCAAGGAGAAAUGGGCUCGCAGAGAUUUGAAUCCUGGUCUCCGGCCUUCCUUUAGACACUUGGGGUGCUCCCAAGUCUGCAUUUGGAGAGGGGAACAGCAUUAAAGUAUCAGCU
rnacentral:lncRNA from 1 species